rnacentral:rRNA from 1 species
GAUGAACGCUGGCGGCGUGCCUAAUACAUGCAAGUCGAACGCAGUGGGGACGGGUGAGUAACACGUGGGUAACCUCCCAUAAGAGGGGAUAACACUUGGCAACAGGUGCUAAACCGAUACUGAUGGAUGGAUCCGCGGGGCAUUAGCGAGUUGGUGAGGAAACGGCUCACCAAGGCGACGAUGAAUAGCUGGCCUGAGAGGGUGAUCGGCCACACUGGGACUGAGACACGGCCCAGACUCCUACGGGAGGCAACAGUGGGGAAUAUUCGGCAAUGGGCGAAAGUCUGACCGAGCAAUGCCGCGUGAGUGAAGAAGGUUUUCGGGUCGUAAAGCUCUUUUGGUCGGGAAGCGGUAUCGAAACAGAAAGCCACGGCUAACUCCGUGCCAGCAGCCGUGGUAAUUC